rfam:Oryctolagus cuniculus chromosome 17, whole genome shotgun sequence.
CCACUGGAUUUACUAAAAUCCAUUUUUUCCUAACAGAAUAAUCAUUU